UACGGGGGGGGCAAGCGUUGUUCGGAAUUACUGGGCGUAAAGGGCCAGUAGGCGGCCAACUAAGUCACACGUGAAAUCCCCAGGCUUAACCUGGGAACUGCGUGUGAUACUGGAUGGCUUGAAUUCGGGAGAGGGAUGCAGAAUUCCAGGUGUAGCGGUGAAAUGCGUAGAUAUCUGGAGGAAUACCGGUGGCGAAGGCGGCAUCCUGGACCGACAUUGACGCUGAGGAGCGAAAGCUAGGGGAGCAAACGGG
rnacentral:rRNA from 1 species